GUCCCCAUCAGCUAUUGGGUGAGGUAAUGGCUCACCAAGGCGAAGACGGGUAGCUGGUCUGAGAGGAUGAUCAGCCACACUGGAACUGAGACACGGUCCAGACUCCUACGGGAGGCAGCAGUGGGGAAUAUUGCGCAAUGGGCGAAAGCCUGACGCAGCCACGCCGCGUGAGCGAUGAAGGUCUUCGGAUCGUAAAGCUCUGUGGGGGGAGAAGAAGAAAGUCGGUGAAGAGCCGGCCCUGACGGUAUCCCCUUAGCAAGCACCGGCUAACUCCGUGCCAGCAGCCGCGGUAAUACGGAGGGUGCAAACGUUGCUCGGAAUCAUUGGGCGUAAAGCGCGCGUAGGCGGCUGAACAAGUUGGAUGUGAAAGCCCUGGGCUCAACCUAGGAUGUGCAUUCAAAACUGUUCGGCUUGAGUCUCGGAGGGGGUCAGAGAAUUCUCGGUGUAGAGGUGAAAUUCGUAGAUAUCGGGAGG
rnacentral:rRNA from 1 species